rnacentral:lncRNA from 1 species
GGCUGCAAUGAGUCUCUCUAACAUCUUAAAUAUCCUGUCCACAUCUUCCUUGAGCGAACCAUCCCAGGCUGCUCGGUUUAGUGGAGGUCUUCCUCUUCUCAUCACGCUGUACCUGCAUUUCACAAGGAAGAGUUGAGUGAUAAUUCAUUGUUUGGUGUUUCUCUAAGUAUUAUUGUGUAAGGGACGUGUCCGAGGAACGCGGCUCUGAUACCAACUGUAACGGCCCCAAAAAUUCAAAAGAAAAUACAU